UAAAAAUGCUUGAUCAACGAACUCUCCAUUUUGGCCGUACGGGAAAGAUCUCUGCAGAUGGCUUUCAGAAAAGUUUUUUUGAGUGGGAAGCCGUGAGAUAUGAAUUAGAGAAGAUUUUAAAGGAGGAUCCCUUCACAUGUCAAGCAUGUGCCCCAGACAUGCUUGCAAUUUCAGUGGAUGGAAACCGCAAGCAUUACCGUUUCAAGAAUGCAGCUAGAUCUGAGGAACAGGGCAUCUUUGAAGACGCCUUCAUCGCAAAGGAUGAAGAUGUGGGGAGAUUUGUGGACUACAUACACAGCACAU